GACGAACGCUGGCGGCGUGCCUAAUACAUGCAAGUAGAACGCUGAAGGAGGAGCUUGCUUCUCUGGAUGAGUUGCGAACGGGUGAGUAACGCGUAGGUAACCUGCCUGGUAGCGGGGGAUAACUAUUGGAAACGAUAGCUAAUACCGCAUAAUAGUAGAUGUUGCAUGACAUUUACUUAAAAGGUGCAAUUGCAUCACUACCAGAUGGACCUGCGUUGUAUUAGCUAGUUGGUGGGGUAACGGCUCACCAAGGCGACGAUACAUAGCCGACCUGAGAGGGUGAUCGGCCACACUGGGACUGAGACACGGCCCAGACUCCUACGGGAGGCAGCAGUAGGGAAUCUUCGGCAAUGGACGGAAGUCUGACCGAGCAACGCCGCGUGAGUGGAGAAGGUUUUCGGAUCGUAAAGCUCUGUUGUAAGAGAAGAACGAGUGUGAGAGUGGAAAGUUCACACUGUGACGGUAUCUUACCAGAAAGGGACGGCUAACUACGUGCCAGCAGCCGCGGUAAUACGUAGGUCCCGAGCGUUGUCCGGAUUUAUUGGGCGUAAAGCGAGCGCAGGCGGUUAGAUAAGCCUGAAGUUAAAGGCUGUGGCUUAACCAUAGUACGCUUUGGAAACUGUUUAACUUGAGUGCAAGAGGGGAGAGUGGAAUUCCAUGUGUAGCGGUGAAAUGCGUAGAUAUAUGGAGGAACACCGGUGGCGAAAGCGGCUCUCUGGCUUGUAACUGACGCUGAGGCUCGAAAGCGUGGGGAGCAAACAGG
rnacentral:rRNA from 1 species